UACGGAGCAUGGAUCAUCCGGUGCCUCGUGACAGUGUCGUGCUGCGCACAUUGUAAUCUGUUUGAGCAGUUUGCUGAGAUUGUGCGGUGUACAUGUAUAUACAAAAUACAUGUCGACUGUUGAUCGGAAGUAUGAUGCUCAGUGCUUUGUGUUUUGUUAAGUGCAGUGCUCUGAUUUUGUUGAGCGCAUUGCUUGAUAACCUGUCAAAUCUGGCGCAGCAACGACGAUAUUGCUGCUGUUUUGCGAUCAGCAUAUAAAUAUCAGGAGAUAACACGUGGAAGUUAAAAUAAAAUCAAAAUACACAUUUGAUGGCGAAUGAUGUUCAAUAAAUAUAUAAGAAAUGAUAAAGGAGGCCACUAUUUUGUCAAAACGCAUCGAUGUAAACUUCGGCAGUCUUCAACACAUUGAAAUUAGAAAAAAACUAGAGAGAGAAUUUAAAUUAUGAAGACUUUAUGCGACAAGCGUCGCGUAAAGUUUCUUAUAUCCGACGGCAUCAAUAUAUUGAACCUAAAGGUUAAGCAGUUAUAGCAGCAGUGUUGCCGUCGCCUCUCGUCUCUUGUCUCCUAUACUAUGUGGUGUUCAAUACAUAAUACGUAUUUUUCUUUAUAUUGUAUACUA